GGCCAAACUACCCUUCGGAGCACGAUACCCUCGGGAAACUGAGGCUAAUAGUGCAUCCCACAGCCCACCUGGAAUGAGGGCUGUGUCAAACGCUCCGGCGCCGAAGGAUGUGGCUGCGGCCGAUUAGGUAGACGGUGGGGUAACGGCCCACCGUGCCAAUAAUCGGUACGGGUCAUGAGAGUGAGAACCCGGAGACGGAAUCUGAGACAAGAUUCCGGGCCCUACGGGGCGCAGCAGGCGCGAAACCUUUACACUGCACGCCAGUGCGAUAAGGGGAUUCCAAGUGCGCAGGCAUAGAGCCUGCGCUUUUGUACACCGUAGGGAGGUGUACGAAUAAGGGCUGGGCAAGACCGGUGCCAGCCGCCGCGGUAAUACCGGCAGCCCGAGUGAUGGCCGAUCUUAUUGGGCCUAAAGCGUCCGUAGCUGGCCGCACAAGUCCAUCGGAAAAUCCACCCGCUCAACGGGUGGGCGUCCGGUGGAAACUGUGUGGCUUGGGACCGGAAGGCGCGACGGGUACGUCCGGGGUAGGAGUGAAAUCCCGUAAUCCUGGACGGACCGCCGAUGGCGAAAGCACGUCGCGAGGACGGAUCCGACAGUGAGGGACGAAAGCCAGGGUCUCGAACCGGAUUAGAUACCCGGGUAGUCCUGGCCGUAAACAAUGUCUGUUAGGUGUGGCUCCCACUACGAGUGGGUGCUGUGCCGUAGGGAAGCCGCUAAACAGACCGCCUGGGAAGUACGUCCGCAAGGAUGAAACUUAAAGGAAUUGGCGGGGGAGCACUACAACCGGAGGAGCCUGCGGUUUAAUUGGA
rnacentral:rRNA from 1 species